rnacentral:sRNA from 1 species
UUUUAGCCCCGAUAGUAGUGAAAAUCCUUUUGUUUUUUCUUUAAAAAACAAAAGGAUUUUCACUACUAUCGGGAUUAGCU